UACGGAGGAUCCAAGCGUUAUCCGGAAUCAUUGGGUUUAAAGGGUCCGUAGGCGGGUUGACCAGUCAGUGGCGAAAGUCUGCAGCUUAACUGUAGAAUUGCCAUUGAUACUGUUGACCUUGAGUAAUUAUGAAGUGGUUUGAAUAUGUAGUGUGGCGGUGAAAUGCAUAGAUAUUACAUAGAAUACCGAUUGCGAAGGCAGAUCACUAAUAAUUCACUGACGCUGAGGGACGAAAGCGUAGGUAGCGAACAGG
rnacentral:misc_RNA from 1 species